rnacentral:rRNA from 1 species
AUUGAACGCUGGCGGCAGGCCUAACACAUGCAAGUCGAACGGCAGCGGGGGAUAGCUUGCUAUCCUGCCGGCGAGUGGCGGACGGGUGAGCAAUGCAUGGGGAGCUGCCCAAUCGAGGGGGAUAACAACUGGAAACGGUUGCUAAUACCGCAUACGCCCUGCGGGGGAAAGGUGGGGACCUUCGGGCCUACCGCGAUUGGAUGCACCCAUGUGGGAUGAGCUGGUUGGUGAGGUAACGGCUCACCAAGGCGACGAUCUCUGGCUGGUCUGAGAGGAUGACCAGCCACACUGGAACUGAGACGCGGUCCAGACUCCUACGGGAGGCAGCAGUGGGGAAUAUUGCACAAUGGGGGAAACCCUGAUGCAGCCAUGCCGCGUGUGUGAAGAAGGCCUUCGGGUUGUAAAGCUCUUUCGGCCGGGAAGAAAUCGUAUCAGCUAAUACCUGGUGCGGAUGACGGUACCGGCAUAAGAAGCACCGGCUAACUACGUGCCAGCCGCCGCAGUAAAAC